rnacentral:rRNA from 1 species
AACGGGGGGAACUAGUGUUAUUCAUCAUUAUUUGGCGUAAAGGGGGCGUAGACGGUUUUAUUAAUACAAAUAAUUAUCAUUAAUUAUUAUUUGUAGAACUAAAGCUAGAGUUUAGAAGAGGAUCAGGGUACUUUAGAAGUAAAGGUGAAAUUUGACUAUAUCUACGGGACCACCAAUGGGCGAAAGCGCUGAUCUAGUAUAAAACUGACGUUAAAGAGCGAAAGCAUGGGUAGCAAACGGG